rnacentral:rRNA from 1 species
UUUAUAACUUUAAAUCCCAAACCUAUCUUUUAAAGUAUAAAAUGAAGCAUCAAAGAGUGCAGUAACUGGCGAUAGAACUUUUACUUAUUAAAACUAAAGUACCGUAAGGGAACAUAAAAAAUAAAAAUAACCAGCUAACCUCAGCGUACUUUUUGCAUCACGGUUUAGCAAGAAUAGCCCGGAAAUCCGGCUUCUCGAAAUCUAAUGAGCUAUUUUCAAUUUGGUCUCCUAGGACUAAUACUUANAUGUGACAAAAUUUAAGUAAUAAAUGAAAAUAGAGAUGAAAUUUUAUCCGCAUUAGUGAUAGCUAGUUUCUCCUGAAAAAUAUAAAAGUAUUAAAGCAAACAAACUUGCGAGGCACACAGCCCUUACAAGUCGUUUUAGCUCUCACUCGCUCGAGGAUAAGCUCGAGCGGGAACCUGAAAUCAUCAAAUUUAUAACUACACUCCUCCGCGUGGGCUUAAGAUUAGCCAUCACAUGAAACUUGUUAUAGAGUAGUUUCCUCAGCCCAACAAAAUUGAUAUAUACAACCUUCAGUACAAACAAGGGGACACUAUAAUCAAAAUCUUUAAGAUAAAGUGCCCAUGCUAAAAUGAGUAUUAUAACCAAAGAUCAUAUGAAUAACACCAUAAAGAUUUUUCUUAAAACCUUAUACUAAAGAACAAAAUAAUUGGAAGGAACUCGGCAAUCUCCUGCUUCGCCUGUUUAUCAAAAACAUGGCUCUUUGUUUUACUCCAAUAAAGAGUCGAGCCUGCCCAGUGAAGUUUUUAACGGCCGCGGUACUCUGACCGUGCAAAGGUAGCAUAAUCAUUUGCCUUAUAAUUGAAGGCUAGUAUGAAUGGUUUGACGAAAGCAGACCUGUCUCCCUCCUAUUACCCAGAAAUUGACCUCUAGGUGAAGAGGCCUAGAUAUUAUUGAAGGACAAGAAGACCCUGUCGAGCUUAAAAGAACAGGCGGAAGUUUAUAUAAUUAUAAAUAAAUAAUCCGUUCAGCUUUUUAGUUGGGGCGACUGAGGAACAAAAAAAGCUUCUUCCAUAAAAGAAACAAACGAGUUAAGAUCCAGCCACAGUCUGAUCUAAGAAAUUAGUUACCGCAGGGAUAACAGCAUAAUCUCUCUUGAGAGACCUAAUCGAAAGAGGGGGUUGUGACCUCGAUGUUGGACUAGAAUAUCCUAAAGAUGCAGAAGUCUUUGAAG